rnacentral:tRNA from 1 species
CUGGAUGUAGCUCAGUGGCAAAGUGCUUGCUUAGCAAGUGCAACAUCCUGGGUUAGAUCCCCAGUAUCAAAA